UUGAACGCUGGCGGCAGGCCUAACACCUGCCAGUCGAACGGUAACAGGAAGAAGCUUGCUUCUUUGCUGACGAGUGGCGGACGGGUGAGUAAUGUCUGGGAAACUGCCUGAUGGAGGGGGAUAACUACUGGAAACGGUAGCUAAUACCGCAUAACGUCGCAAGACCAAAGAGGGGGACCUUCGGGCCUCUUGCCAUCGGAUGUGCCCAGAUGGGAUUAGCUAGUAGGUGGGGUAACGGCUCACCUAGGCGACGAUCCCUAGCUGGUCUGAGAGGAUGACCAGCCACACUGGAACUGAGACACGGUCCAGACUCCUACGGGAGGCAGCAGUGGGGAAUAUUGCACAAUGGGCGCAAGCCUGAUGCAGCCAUGCCGCGUGUAUGAAGAAGGCCUUCGGGUUGUAAAGUACUUUCAGCGGGGAGGAAGGGAGUAAAGUUAAUACCUUUGCUCAUUGACGUUACCCGCAGAAGAAGCACCGGCUAACUCCGUG
rnacentral:rRNA from 1 species